UCCCUGGUGGUCCAGUGGUUAGGACUCUGCACUUCCAAAGCCAGAGGCCCAGGUUCAAUCCCUGGUUGGGGAA